ACAAACAGCCCCUGAAUUAUUUAUUUACUGCACUUGCCUGCUGUCUGUUCUCUCUCAGACUUCGAGGAAAGGCAGGCAUGUGAGGAGGGCUGGACGGCUCGGAACACAAGGCUGGCGGAUAGGAGACCAUGGUUACAGAUUCAGUGUAACAGCUAAUUUCUCAUGGCACUUCACACAGGUCAUGUUCCUUCUCCAGGCCUUGGUCUCACCUGCCAGCUUCACCCUACAUGAUCUCUGGGGUUUAUAAAUUCUUUGAGGCAAGGACUUUCCUUCAGCAGCUGGGUGUUUCUACUGCUGUGACAAAACACAGAAACUACUGCUAUUUGCUGCUGAUUUGGCACUAUUCGACCCCGUCUUGCACAGUUACUCUUUUACUACCUUUGGUCAGGGAGGCUGAAUCAGCCUGAAGGUUAGGGUUUUAAACAGAAGUAAAACAUUACUGCUUGUACGGGGAGCAGAAAGUUACAGAACAGUUGCUAACUGGCCUAAAACCUACCCAAGGAAGGCAGUAAAAUGGAGCUGCUGCCUUCCUCCAGCCCGACAGCAGUGUUUGGAUGUGAAUGACCUGCUUUCGCUGAAAAUGUUUCAUCUCUAAGACUGCAGCUUCCUAUUGACUUUGGACCAUCCCGCAAGCUUUCCCAAGGCUGCAGACUACAGCUGAUUAUGAAAUUUACGUUCCUCUAUAAGCACCACGAUUACCACUUGGCAUGAGGAAUGGUGCUUCAGGUUAUUUGCAGUUUCCCUGUUGCUGAGGUCCGCCCUGUGCACGCCGCCUGGAUCACCUCCGCUACGAAUCAUUCAGCCAGGUGGAAGGAAAAGGCUGCGGGGAGCAGCCACAGCUUUGGGAUGUGUCAUUCCUGCCCCACGGACACGCACUGCAGCUUCCCGGCAAACCCAGAAGUGACGAGCAAACUCAGUGCCACAAACUGAGCUGCCAGAGUAGGAAGCUGACAGCAAGCUACAAGCAAUCCAGCACGCUUGGUGGUUGUUGUUUAAAAAUUAUUACAGUAUCUCAUCAGUCAGCUGUUACCAGUGAAAAAUCAGAAGCAACAGCCCAUUUGCUCAAGAACAAAACUCGUGUUCUUUCCCAGAAGUCUUUCCCACGGCAUCUUUCCCUGCUUGUAGCAUUUGUCUCCAGCGGAGGCCCCGUUUGUUACAGCACCACAGAGAUGUACUCCUUACCAUCAAGCAGCAGCCAGCCUGACCACAACCACCUCUCCUACCAACUUUACAGCUCACCGUCACUGUAGCUAAUAUAAGUGAAGAAAAUCCCACCCAAAGGACAGUAUUGACAACCUCGGCUCUCUAAUAUGGGUAGUCAGCCCGAAUGGAGGUUGACUCCAUUCAAACAGCUCUGCUCCGUCCCUGAGAGGUAAUGAAUGCAUUUCAGCAGACCUGUUUGUCACCCACAAUGCUGAACUUGGAGAGAAGCAGCUUGAAGAGACUGGUGCCCAUGAGGGACUUGCACCCACAUCACUCAAUGCCCAAGGAGUUAGAAAGACAUGAUUUAUUUUUUUUACUGAACCCUUCACUGAAAGAUUAAGAUAUACAAUAAAAAUGAAAUACACACUUGUCUUUCA
rnacentral:lncRNA from 1 species